rnacentral:lncRNA from 1 species
UGGACCACCGCACAUAAUAACAACAACAACAAACAACAACAAUAAUGAAAGAUGGAACAAGAAGGGGUGAGGAGAGGAGGGGGGGGGAAGGGGUUGGGAGAGGGCCAAGGAACGGGAUAAGUCUUCGGGGGCUUUUUGUAGGUGGAGGGGACGAGAAAGGAAUGAAAUAAAAUAUUAUUAUUUCUAGAGAGAGAGAGAGAGAGAGAGAAAUGAAAAAGAUAAGGGAAGUAGGAGAGAAGCUCCUCUUUUCUGUCUCUCUCUCUCUCUCUCUCUCUCUCUCUCUCUCUCUCUCUCUCUCUCUCUCUCUCUCUCUCUCUCUCUCUCUCUCUCUCUCUCUCUCUCUCUCUCUCUCUCUCUCUCUCUCUCUCUCUCUCUCUCUCUCUCUCUCUCUCUCUCUCUCUCUCUCUCUCUCUCUCUCUCUCUCUCUCUCUCUCUCUCUCUCUCUCUCUCUCUCUCUCUCUCUCUCUCUCUCUCUCUCUCUCUCUCUCUCUCUCUCUCUCUCUCUCUCUCUCUCUCUCUCUCUCUCUCUCUCUCUCUCUCUCUCUCUCUCUCUCUCUCUCUCUCUCUCUCUCUCUCUCUCUCUCUCUCUCUCUCUCUCUCUCUCUCUCUCUCUCUCUCUCUCUCUCUCUCUCUCUCUCUCUCUCUCUCUCUCUCUCUCUCUCUCUCUCUCUCUCUCUCUCUCUCUCUCUCUCUCUCUCUCUCUCUCUCUCUCUCUCUCUCUCUCUCUCUCUCUCUCUCUCUCUCUCUCUCUCUCUCUCUCUCUCUCUCUCUCUCUCUCUCUCUCUCUCUCUCUCUCUAUAUAUAUAUAUAUAUAUAUAUAUAGAGAGAGAGAGAGAGAGAGAGAGAAAUGAUAUGGAGAGAUUGAGCUCCAUGCAUUGAAAAGUACUUAUGAGUACGUUGGCUCCAAUACUGAUAAUAGUUUUGUAGCCACGACUUGUAUAUAAGGAAUGUGCGGUUAGGAUGAUGUGGGCCUCCUACGGUUAAGUGGGCAGUUGGUUGAAUAGUAUAAUCUAACUGUUGAAAAUGAUUAAAGACGUAGAUCUAACGGUAAAAAACUUACAAGUUACCAAGUGCUUGGUGCUUAUAUAAAACAAAACCUUACAAGUUACAACAAACAUGAAACCAAUGAAUUUAAAAAACUAAAGCAAGGGAAACCACUAUAAAAAAAAGAGUAAAAAAAACACACUAUGUUACUUUCCUAAAAACUCACUAAAUAAUUCAAACUGUACCAAAAGAAAUUGAUACAAAAACAAGUAAUUUAGAAAGUAUAAUUAAAACAACUUCUUUAAAAAGUUUAAUCAAGAGUACAGUGGCGGGAUUUAUCUUGCAUAGUAGUUGAUAAAUUUCGUAUUGUUGCCUCUUUUACUUUUUAAAAUAAAAUUGUUGAUAUAUAAUGUUAUCAUUAUGAUUAUCUUAUAAUAUAAUCUGGUCACAUGCCAAAGGGCAUUUUAUGAAAAAAAAGUGCAAAAGAAUUCAAGGAAAAAAUUUUCCAGUAAUUAUUAUUUUUUAUUAAUUUGUAAACAAACUCAAUAAAUGGAUAGAAUUUACAUUUAAGAAGAAUAAUUAAAAAACUUCAAUAAUACCAAACAAGGCCUUAAUUAACUAGUCAUCUGCACAUCAAAUUUUCCUAAUUUUGUCGAAUAUCGUAACAUAGUUUUACGAACUAAACUAUUGUUUUCACAUUAUUUUCUCAUGCAUAAAACACCAUUAACAUAGUUUCAAAUUACAACAAUGUAUGAUUUACCAAUACUACUAUCUAUAAUUAAGUUAUUAUAAACAUUUUUUGCUCGCACAAUAAUGUUUCAAGUUAAAUGCGAAUAACAUAUGCCUCUAACAAAGAAAACACCAUUAAGAGAUCACCAAAUUUACAAUAAUAUAUACUUCUUCCAUUCUCUAAUAUGUCUAAAUUAGCUUAAACAUUUUGUAAGAGUGCAAUGUUCUAAAUUAAACAUAAUUAACAUAUGAAAAUCGCUACCUGUACACCUAUUAUAGAUUAUACAUCUUACACCCCGUCAUUCAAGAGUUUAAAAUUUAAAGGUUGAUGAGAUAAGUUAGUAGAUCUAUAUAUUUUGAGAGGCUAGAAUGUAAGAUGUAAACCUACAUAAUAGUUGUAUAGAUAGCGUUGCUUUUAACAUGCCCAUUAUCCAACUAAACAUCACUAAUGUCCAGGUCCAAGCCGCCCUCCGUAACAUCCUGAAGAAUCGAAAGCCACGGAUCAUCUCCAUAAGCAAACUUCUCUACAUCACCGAAGUCGUCAUCGUCCACUACCUUCUGAAAAUUCUCCACCAUAUUGUUAUUAUUAUUACUAAUAUUGUCGUAAUAAUAUUGUUGUUCAACUUCACAUGUUGAGGAUUCAUGAGCGCCGAACUCUCCUUUAUUUGCAACUGAAUCAUAAUUUGGCGCGUGAUCUUGAAAAGUUUGGCCACCAUAAUGAAAUGUAUCAUUAGUAGAUCCAUAAGCUAGGGAUUGAGUACUUAGUUCUCCAAUUGUUGAAACAAGAAUUGGUGGUUGGCUCAUCGCAAAUUGUUGAAGUGCUUGUGUUGGGUUUGAUGUUGCAUAUCCAUUUAGUUGUACAUUCUCUAAAUAAGAUCUCUCAUAACACACAUUUGCAUAAGGAUAAAUGUUGAAACUUAAGGGAAUUUGAGCAUAAACGGGGGUAAUUUGGGUUACUACUCCUUGCAGAUAUUGUUGGUUGUAGUUGGAUAAGUAAGUUUGGUGCAUUCCAUGUUGUCCAAAUUGAUUAGGGAUUUGAUUGAUGAAGUUGCUUCCUUGAAUGUUUUGUGCACAAUAUAUUGGAGUGAAUGUAUUGUUUGAUCCCUUCUUUUUUCGAUGUUUCUGCAUAUGAAAAGAUAAGAUGUUAGCAUGAAAUAUUAGGUCAGAAGAAAAAAUAACACUUAGAAAGAAUUUGCGAAGUUGUUUCAAAUUUUCUUUCAGAAUAUAUAUGAAGGUAGAAUUGCCAUAUAUAUGAAGGUAGAAUUGCCUAUACAAAAUUUUAACUCAAUAACUAUAUUUUGAACACAAAUAUAUUUUAAAAAAGAUAAAGGUUUCGUCAAGUGAUAGAAAAUAACAAAAAUCCAACUAUCAAUCACUUGAAAACAAAAUUCUAAAUCUCUUUUUGUAAUGAACUAAGAAUAGACAAACUAAAUUUGACAAAACACGUAAACGACAAGUGUUUACCGUUUUCUUGACUUAACUAACUGUUAUAGCAUUCGACAAAAAAAGAAGAAAAAAAAAAAUCUGUGAUGCGCGAUAAAUGACAAAUCUACACUUUACAUAGAUUGCUUUCAUUCUCUUUUUGAACCUCCUCUUUUCAUGCGUCAAAAAAUGAAAACUACUAUAGAUAUACACUUACAUGGAAAAUGUCAUGUUAAGUAGGAUUUACAUUUUGCUCUCAACUAUUAUGCUAAUUUAGGAAUCAUCAAAUUGAAUAAUUAAUUAUUUUGCAUUUACCCAAUCUCUAGAGAUUUGUUUUCUAAGUUUUUUUAUUUUUUUUUUUAUACACUAUCUAUUUUUCAUCUUAUAUUGACCUAUAUCCAAGUAAAAAUUUAUUAGCAUAACCGAUAAAUCUUGGAUUCAUAGCACUCAACAGGUUGCAUGCAGUUACUUCUCUCUACUGUGAAUAUACGAGUGAGUUAAAAGCACAAAGAACAUAUUUAUAAGUGUAUAUAUCUACUUAGCAGAAGAGUAAAUGCACUUCAAAAACUAUAUAUUAAUGCUUUCCAGUGGAAAAAAUUUUACUAUAUAUAGCGACAACAUUUGUCACACACAUACAUAAUACAAAUAAACUAAAUACAAAUAAACAAAGCAUAGUAAAAGUUGAAGUGGAAGUUAGAUAAUCAAUAUAUACCUGUAAAUGGCUUGCAAUUUGUUGUCGACUUAUGCCCUCAACAUUCAUCAAUCUCAUGAUCUUGCUUGGAACAGCAUCUGAUUCAAGAAUCUUACAAUUAACCAUUGAGGAAUAUAUAUAUAUAUAUAUAUGUAUGUAUGUAUGUAUAUAUAUGUUUCUAUAAUUCUAAACAAAGUCCAAACUCAAUUAUAAUCUUACCGUCGCCUAGGAUUUCAAGUGCAUCAAGAAACUUUUGCUGGAGAAAGGAACACCAACUGAUCGGCUUCUUCCUUAGUUUGCUCAAAUUAUCGUCCUCACUCUCCAUCUUCUCUUCUCCCUCUGUGGUGUCCUUACUGCACUCCGCGCAUCCCUUAUUCGCUUCUUGCUUCGGAGUGUCGCCCUCUUUCUCUUUAGCAUCAACCCUAUUCUCUUCUUCCUCAUUCAACGUCGCUCGAUCGGUACGAUGAAAUUCUCUAUCCCCAGCGCUCUCGACACUUUCUCUUUUAGAAUGCUUCUUGAAGUUCAACACAUGUUGCCAUAAGUUUUCGACGGUGUUAAUAUCGAGCGGUUUCUUCGCAAAGAAGCAUGCUCCGAGUUCGAUACUUCUCUUCAUUACUUCCAAUCGUACAUCGGCCGAUAUCACUGAAUUUUUAAGAGCUAUUUUAUGUAAGAAAAGUUAACUAAAUACGAAGGAAUUAAGCAAAAUAUAAUCAAUCAAUAUAUAGUCAUUACUAAUAAAGUAAAGAUCAAAUUCUUUUUUGAUCAUGCUAAUGAGCUCAAACCCUCCCAUUUCUUGCAUGUGCACUUCCACUAAUAGAAGAUUAAACUCCGCUCCGCGCUCUCGAAGAAUUUUCAAUGCACACAAUGGACUUGCACAAGUAGUCACUGAAAAAAAAAAAGAAAGAAAGAAAACCCAAAAUUAUUCAAAUGAUGUCGUAUGCAUGACAACAUUAGAAAGUUAAAAUAAAAAGCAAUUAAAUUAACUAACCUCGAUAAUUGCAUGAGGAGAACAUCAUUCUCGCCUCCUUAAGAAAUGCUUGGUCAUUAUCAAUGACCAUAAGCUUUAUAUUAUCGGAAACAAAGUGUUCCAUAAUGUCACCCAUAUAUAGAAAUGUGAAUGUUAGGAAAAGAAUCAAAGGGUUUAAAACAAGAAGUUGAAGAACAGUGUGCCACAAUGUGUAAGUUUUUAUAUUAGAGAGAGAGAGAGAGAGAGAGAGAGAGGCCAUUUGGCAAAAUGUGCAUCUUUUUCACCUUCGCAUUUAAUUCCCGAAAACAAAUUAGAUAGUACUAAAAUUUGAACUUGNUAAGUCUUCGGGGGCUUUUUGUAGGUGGAGGGGACGAGAAAGGAAUGAAAUAAAAUAUUAUUAUUUCUAGAGAGAGAGAGAGAGAGAGAGAAAUGAAAAAGAUAAGGGAAGUAGGAGAGAAGCUCCUCUUUUC